GACCACAGCAAUGCUGGUAAAUCUAUGGAGCUGGUAGAUGCACCUCAGUGUGCUGGGGGAAGUCUGAGUUGUCAUACUUCUGUGAGUAGGGGGCUGGUCUGCCUGGCAGGCAGUGAUACUCUGAAGAGAAAACCAAAGAGCUGAUUACUAGCUGUCCUAAAAUCCAGUUAAAUUCCUCUUGUAGAUCAAAGGAUCCUUUAAAGAGGGAGGAGCUGAUUCCUCUAGAAAUAACUCCUGCUCAGCACAGGGCUUUCAUGUUCUUCAAUAUAUGAGGCAAAGAACUAGAUGAAUGUAUGUUUGAAGUUGGCAGUGCCCAGUGCAGCAAAGCUUGGUCUGGUCGUCCUUCUCUAGCAAGAUCUUCUCUCACAUGACAGUAGAUGCUCCCCUCACGCUGUCUCGCUGCUUCUCCUCCUCCAGUCUCUCCGACAUAUGCCAGAGCUGAACAGCUGACACUCAUCCUUGUACUUGACUGUGGGUUAAUUUUUGAGAGUUCAUGGAUGUUCUCUUGACUUAAAGCAGUAGAUGUUCCAUGAGCAGAUGAGACUGUGCAGCAUUUUUCUCCUCACAUUCAUUUAUAGUGAUAAUUAACAUGUUAGCACCUUUUGUGGAGCUGAUGCUUGUUUCAGAUAAAAUUUGUGAGUAGGUUGCAUUAUCUUGAUUGACCUCUCAGCACAGAUUGCAAAUUGAAUGGUCAGGUGCCUCUGCACAAAUACAGGAAGGGAAUGAUAAUGCAGUGCAAACUCACCCUGCUCUAUCAUACAGCGUAGAAUCAUUUGAGUUGGAAAGAACCUUUAAAGGCUAUCUAGUCCAACUCCUCUUGCCAUGAGCAGGGACAGCUGUGGCUAGAUCAGGAUGCUCAGAGCCUGGUCCAGCCUGCAUCGUCUCCACCAGAUCUGUGUUCCUUGAUGAGAUUGGUGCCCAGAGAUUGCAUGUCUGUACUCAAUUCCAUUGAUACCACUCAUACUAAGAAACCAUGUUCUCACUUACUGGCAUGGAAGUCCCACAGCUUUGGCAAGCUGAUUAAAGGUUCUCUGUUGCUGAAGCACAAGAAAAAAGCAAAAACCCAGAAUCAGUAUGACCUUCUU